rnacentral:rRNA from 1 species
UACAGAGGGGGCGAGCGUUGUUCGGAAUUACUGGGCGUAAAGGGCUCGUAGGCGGCCAACUAAGUCAUACGUGAAAUCCCUCGGCUUAACCGGGGAACUGCGUGUGAUACUGGAUGGCUUGAGAUUGGGAGAGGGAUGCGGAAUUCCAGGUGUAGCGGUGAAAUGCGUAGAUAUCUGGAGGAACACCGGUGGCGAAGGCGGCAUCCUGGACCGGCAUUGACGCUGAGGCGCGAAAGCCAGGGGAGCAAACGGG